GUAGGGUAUUCAGAAUUGCUAAGCAAUACCAACCGAGUUCGUAACCACGGUGGUAAAACAAUACGGGAUGUUGUCAAAAAUUGUCGCAGCU
rnacentral:ncRNA from 2 species